rnacentral:rRNA from 1 species
GACAGAGGAGCCAAGCGUUGUCCGGAUUGACUGGGCGUAAAGCGCACGCAGGCGGCUUGGCGCGUGGGGUGUGAAAGCUCUUGGCUUAACUAAGAGAGGCCAUCCCAUACGGCUAAGCUCGAGCCAUGCAGAGGUCCGCGGAAUUGCAGGUGUAGUGGUGAAAUGCGUAGAUAUCUGGAGGAAUACCGGUGGCGAAGGCGGCAUCCUGGACCGAGAUUGACACUGAUGAGCGAAAGCCAGGGGAGCAAACGGG